UACGUAGGGUGCGAGCGUUGUCCGGAAUUAUUGGGCGUAAAGGGCUCGUAGGCGGUCUGUCACGUCGGGAGUGAAAACUCAGGGCUUAACCCUGAGCCUGCUUCCGAUACGGGCAGACUAGAGGUAUGCAGGGGAGAACGGAAUUCCUGGUGUAGCGGUGAAAUGCGCAGAUAUCAGGAAGUACACCGGUGGCGAAGGCGGCUCUCUGGGCCUUACCUGACGCUGAGGAGCGAAAGCGUGGGUAGCGAACAGG
rnacentral:rRNA from 1 species